rnacentral:tRNA from 1 species
GAAGUUUUAGUUUAUUUAGAAUAAAGAAUUGUAAAUUCUUAGGAUGUUGCUUUG